UGGGGAAUAUUGGACAAUGGACCAAGAGUCUGAUCCAGCAAUUCUGUGUGCACGAUGAAGUUUUUCGGAAUGUAAAGUGCUUUCAGUUGGGAAGAAGAAAGUGACGGUACCAACAGAAGAAGCGACGGCUAAAUACGUGCCAGCAGCCGCGGUAAUACGUAUGUCGCAAGCGUUAUCCGGAUUUAUUGGGCGUAAAGCGCGUCUAGGCGGCAUAGUAAGUCUGAUGUGAAAAUGCGGGGCUCAACUCCGUAUUGCGUUGGAAACUGCUAUGCUAGAGUACUGGAGAGGUAAGCGGAACUACAAAUGUAGAGGUGAAAUUCGUAGAUAUUUGUAGGAAUGCCGAUGGGGAAGCCAGCUUACUGGACAGAUACUGACGCUAAAGCGCGAAAGCGUGGGUAGCAAACAGG
rnacentral:rRNA from 1 species